GACGAACGCUGGCGGCGUGCUUAACACAUGCAAGUCGAGCGGAAAGGCCCUUUCGGGGGUACUCGAGCGGCGAACGGGUGAGUAACACGUGAGUAAUCUGCCCCUGGCUUUGGGAUAGCCACCGGAAACGGUGAUUAAUACCGGAUACGACCACUUCUCGCAUGGGAUGGUGGUGGAAAGUUUUUCGGCCAGGGAUGUGCUCGCGGCCUAUCAGCUGUGUGGUGAGGUAAUGGCUCACCAUGGCUUCGACGGGUAGCCGGCCUGGGAGGGUGAACGGUCACACUGGGACUGAGACACGGCCCAGACUCCUACGGGAGGCAGCAGUGGGGAAUAUUGGACAAUGGGCGGAAGCCUGAUCCAGCAACGCCGCGUGAGGGAUGACGGCCUUCGGGUUGUAAACCUCUUUCAGCAGGGACGAAGCGCAAGUGACGGUACCUGCAGAAGAAGCACCGGCCAACUACGUGCCAGCAGCCGCCGUAA
rnacentral:rRNA from 1 species